CUCUUCUCCCGCAGGCCAGUUCUCCUCCUGUGAUUGUAAAUACCGACACAUUGGAAGCACCAGCAUAUGUGAAUGGUACAGAGGCAGAAAUGGAAUAUGAAGAGAUCACACUGGAGAGGGGUAACUCAGGAUUGGGGUUCAGCAUUGCCGGGGGCACAGAUAACCCCCAUGUAGGAGAUGACCCCAGUAUUUUCAUCACCAAGAUCAUCCCAGGUGGAGCAGCAGCUCAGGACGGCAGGCUCAGGUA